GCCUGGGUGGCUCAGUCGGUUAAGCAUCUGACUUCAGCUCAGGUCAUGAUCUCAUGGUCUGUGGGUUCGAGCCCUGCAUCAGGCU
rnacentral:tRNA from 1 species